GGGCAAUCAAACCCCUCCUGCCCGUGAAACGUUUUCAUUAAUCUGCACUGUAAGUACACCCCUGCCUGCUCGGCUGGCCGCGUGAGGACACUUUUCAGCUCCCGUUAUGUCCAUCCUCCCGCCUUUACCUUCUUCUAAGAGGAAUGCACACGCACAGGCACGCAUGCGCGCACACGCUCACCCGCACGGAUCAUGAAGUGAGCCGUUGUUUGAACCCCUUUGUGGUCUCUGGCAGCCGGGCCUGUGGAAAUUAGCUGGCUUUUCACCUGAAACGUUGCAGCUGUCUUGCUCUUCUGAAAGAACUGGCUGCCUCAACUCCUCAGUCCCUGGCAGGAAGGCAACAAAAAAGCUGCCCCUAAGUUUGACCCACUUCAAGCCCCAGCUGGAACGUGCAGCGCCCCACGCUCAUGCCUCCGCUAGCCUCAUGAACAGAAACCCGCGUGGAUGAAGGUGGUGAUGCUAACUCCACUUCCGCCCGUGGCCCGGAAGUGGGCUGUGCGCUUGCACAGUGAGACCCAAGAAAGUGAAGCCCUUGGGUUUAACAAUGGAGAGACUGGUGUUUAUCCCUGAAGAGUUGGCUAAAUGAAAGGGAACCUGAGAGGCCAUGAACAGUAGAGACAUCCUCUGUAAGCCUGAGGAAGAAGUAUGGUCCCACAGAAGUCUGAACAUCUUGUUUUCUC